rnacentral:rRNA from 1 species
GACGAACGCUGGCGGCGUGCUUAACACAUGCAAGUCGAACGGAAAGGCCCUGCUUUUGUGGGGUGCUCGAGUGGCGAACGGGUGAGUAACACGUGAGUAACCUGCCCUUGACUUUGGGAUAACUUCAGGAAACUGGGGCUAAUACCGGAUAGGAGCUCCUGCUGCAUGGUGGGGGUUGGAAAGUUUCGGCGGUUGGGGAUGGACUCGCGGCUUAUCAGCUUGUUGGUGGGGUAGUGGCUUACCAAGGCUUUGACGGGUAGCCGGCCUGGGGGGGUGACCGGCCACAUGGGGACGGGGGAACGGCCCAGCCCCCUACGGGGGGCAGGAGGGGGGAAUAUUGCAAAAGGGGGGGAAGCCUGAUGCAGCAACCCCGCGGGGGGGAUGACGGCCUUCGGGUUGUAAACCGCUUUCGCCUGUGCCGAAGCGGGGGUGACGGUAAUGGGUAAAGAAGCCCCGGCUAACUACGG